rnacentral:rRNA from 1 species
GACGAACGCUGGCGGCGUGCCUAAUACAUGCAAGUUGAGCGCUGAAGGUUGGUACUUGUACCGACUGGAUGAGCAGCGAACGGGUGAGUAACGCGUGGGGAAUCUGCCUUUGAGCGGGGGACAACAUUUGGAAACGAAUGCUAAUACCGCAUAAAAACUUUAAACACAAGUUUUAAGUUUGAAAGAUGCAAUUGCAUCACUCAAAGAUGAUCCCGCGUUGUAUUAGCUAGUUGGUGAGGUAAAGGCUCACCAAGGCGAUGAUACAUAGCCGACCUGAGAGGGUGAUCGGCCACAUGGGAACUGAGACACGGCCCAAACCCCUACGGGAGGCAGCAGUAGGGAAUCUUCGGCAAUGGACGAAAGUCGGACCGAGCAACGCCGCGGGAGUGAAAAAGGUUUUCGGAUCGUAAAACUCUGUUGGUAGAGAAGAACGUUGGGGAGGGUGGAAAGCUCAUCAAGUGACGGUAACUACCCAAAAAGGGACGGCUAACUACGU